AUGGUGGGAAUGAUAAAAGAUCCUAGAGUUGGCGGCGGUGUCGGUGGAACUUGUGAAGUUGCCAAAAACCAAACCCAACACUCACUGAGAUAAACAGGUGACAUGAGGGGAACUCAUUUUUGGGGAGCUUAGGGAGAGUUAUAUUUUGGUUUUAUUCAAUUGCACUAUCUUGUAUAUGAGUGCAUAGUUGAUAGUUUAAGACAUUAUGUAACUAUGGAUAUAUAUUUGCUAACAUGAGGGUGUAACUCUG